AGCCGCGCACCGACGGCCCAGUCCUGGUUCCAGUGCCUCCCCGAGAGGGAGCGCCCAGGCCCCCUGCUGUGCAGCGCUGGCAUUUUUGCUACCGCUUAGAAGCCUGCGGCGUGUCCCUCUCCGCCCCCUGCCCUCCCCUCCCCGCCCUCCCCGGCACAGGAUCGACGUGUCAGCCCCGAAAGUUCAUGUUCGGGCCCCGGGCGAGUUCCCCGCGAUGCGGCGGUCCACGGGCAGCGAGACGUGGCGCCCCGGGGCGGGGGGGGGAGGCGCCGGCACCUUCCUCAGCUACUUCCUGAACUGAUAAAUUCAAAAUGAAGAGGAAGAUAGGAGUAAGAACAAAGAAUGCCUUGGAGAAAACCAGUCAUAAAGUUUGAGAAGCAGAAGCAUUAGGAAAUAUUGAUAACUGUGGUCUCUUAAGUAGGUCAACAUUUGGACUGAAAUGAUGAAAAGUCACAAACCUAAGACAUGAGCCUUGUUACAUUUGAAUGUAGAUUUACAGAUUUUUAAAUUAAAACAUAAUAAAAAUAUUUGCUUUUUU